AUCAAGCUUAAUUCUGCAGUUGAGAUCCAGUUGAGCAGAGGGAGUUAAGCUGCAGUCCCGUGGAAGCAGUGAACACCCUUGGUGAAAACUGUAGACCAGGCCAUUCAUUACAUCAGCUCCAUGACUUCAUCAACAGAUUUGCUUGGGGUACACCCUGGAGAAAAACUUGAUAUAUGCAUAGCUGGCACCUCAAGCCUCCAGAAAUUCUACCCAAGAACAUGGUCACCACGGAUAAGGUCACCAGGUCWACGUCUGUCAAUGUAAGAACAAGGUUCUUUGUCCCCAUAAAGAUUCAUGAGUGCAACAGCAACGUCCUUAAUCCAACCAACUGAAGGAGCAGCUCUUACUCAGAUGGAGUUGAUCAUAUGCUUUUGUUGUCUCAGUGUGCAUCCACUUUGUCUCCUCCUGCUCUGAUGUAUAUGUGACAUGUACUAGAAAAGUACCUAGAAGCAAAAAAUAGGGCUCAGGAAUAUAUUGUAUGGGUGCGAAAUAAAUAAACAAAGAGGUAUCUUYUGCCUAAAAAGCUUAAGAUAUCUUUCUGCUACAGAUAGAUUUCUAGAAUUCUGGUUUGUCACCUUCCACUUUUAUAAUUUCUCUAGGACACAUUCUAGAAAGAUGUUUAAACAUUUCAUUAAGGAUAUCAGAUCUCUGGAGCUCAUGAUGUGAGGURCAAAUCCUGUUGGCUCCAGCCGAAUUUGUCGGUGCAGAGCACCUGCUCCAAUUAAAUCUCUGUUGACUAGUCUUCUCCAUUUCUUUCUUUGUGACCUGGAAUGUGCUGUGUGUGAUGUUCAAU